UUUACAGUCUCUCAUGUUACCUGUGGAAGUGGAAACCAACUUUCCUUUGACGGAAGCUCACAGGCCAUCUGUUGCAAACCUGACCCAUAUGCUAAACAUAGGACCAGCGCUAGUAGAGGACCAGACAACUUGUAUGGAUAUAUUCAAAACACCCCCAGCAGGAAAUUUACAAGAAAUUCCUGACUUUAAAACUUCUAUCACACCAACCUUAGAGAGUCUCAGCUUGCUGAAUCCCAGUGCUCCAGGGCACUGCAGGACUUAUGCUGAUCUGGAGAUGGAUUUCACUCUGUCCCCACCUCACAGACCAGAGAGUCUUCUAGCCCGUUUGCCUUCUUUUGAGCUUCAGAUAGAGCAGCUAUCUCCAGGCAGCAGACAGUGGGUCACAGCCAGAAUGCUAUAAAAGUGCAACCUUCUGAUUUGGUCUGGAUGAAAGUUUCAGUUUAUCCAAUCUCAAUGUGCAAAACAUUGCGCACCUAGUACAGCAACACAACAGACAGCGUACACACAUAAAUAUAGAAAAAUAUAUAGACAAUUAUGAUAGCUGACAAAUUGCAUUUCACCUGAACUGGACAGUAUGUUGCUAAUCAGUAAUAAUUCAAUGAUUAUGUAUAAUAAUAUCAGUUCUGUGAUUUGUAGCUUUGUUACAGCAAUUAUUAGAUAAUUAU
rnacentral:lncRNA from 1 species